rnacentral:rRNA from 1 species
GAUGAACGCUAGCGACAGGCUUAACACAUGCAAGUCGAGGGGCAGCACGGGAGUAGCAAUACAACUGGUGGCGACCGGCGCGCGGGUGAGUAACGCGUAUGCAACCUACCUAUCAGAGGGGAAUAACCCGGCGAAAGUCGGACUAAUACCGCAUAAAACAGGGGUUCCACAUGGAAAUAUUUGUUAAAGAUUUAUCGCUGAUAGAUGGGCAUGCGUUCCAUUAGAUAGUUGGUGAGGUAACGGCUCACCAAGUCUACGAUGGAUAGGGGUUCUGAGAGGAAGGUCCCCCACACUGGUACUGAGACGCGGACCAGACUCCUACGGGAGGCAGCAGUGAGGAAUAUUGGUCAAUGGGCGAGAGCCUGAACCAGCCAAGUCGCGUGAAGGAUGAAGGAUCUAUGGUUUGUAAACUUCUUUUAUAUGGGAAUAAAGUGAGGAACGUGUUCCUUUUUGUAUGUACCAUAUGAAUAAGCAUCGGCUAACUCCGUGCCAGCAGCCGCCGUAA